CAGCCAGAUAGAUGUCAGACACUUGACUAGCUUCUGUCCGUCCAGAAGUCCUAAAAUUAUGACAGGCUUUGGACUAAGAUGAGUUCUAUUGGAUUCUAACUUCACUUUGGAGAUUUCAAGAAAAGCAGUAUGCUAAGCCCCUGGAGGCAGAGGGAGAGCUCUUUUGAAGAACAAGAGGCUUGAAGUCCAGAAAGAAGUUAUUCAGACAAUGGAGCAGAGAAGCUGGGAAAAGAUGAAUCUGGGAGAGAAAGCCAACCUGGAGGUCCCCACAACCAUUCUCUGUGUGGGGAGACUUGCUUGGCCUCGUGCGGGUCUAUCGAUUUCUCAGCUGCCUCUUAGAAACUUCCCUAAGAAACAAUUCCACCAGCUGCCUUUUCAAAAUGGCUGAGAGGCUGUGGAUUCCUGGCUCUGGGCAGCUUUAAAAAAGUGCCAUCAGCCAUCUUAGGAUGUGGCUUCCAAGCUCAUUAUUGUUACCUCAAGGUUUCAGAAUAGCUGUUUCACCUCUGGCAUUGCUUCUGCAUUCCUGCCAGGAGGAAGUGGAGGAUUCAAAGGAAAAGUGAUCAGAGUGCUGUCUACCCUCCCAUUCAAAACCUGGCUUCUUCAGCUCCUGUUACCAAACUCUCUACUUUAGUCAAGAAGGUCUUCAAGAUAUUCUAGAGGCAAAAAUGAUAGGCCUCCAAAGGAAUGGAAUAUAAUAUGAAUAAGUGAAUGAAUGGCUGAAUGGAAAGUCUUAAGGAAUGCAAAGUACGUCAUCAGGAAACAGUAAAGAACUCUCACGUAUUUUGUAAUUCUGCCCCCCAAAGACUUCAUUGCAUCCCGGUUUUAUAGUGUACAUCACAGCAACUUUCUUUAAAAAGCACGGCAGCUGGUUCAAAGAAUGAGUAUACCAAGAAGCAAGGCCAUAUGUACUUGCAUCAUGCUUGCUAAUGUCCCAUUGGCAAUGGCCAGACGCAUACUCAAUCAAGUCCAUACUCAAUGCUGGAGGAGAACACACAAUGGCAAGAAUACCAGGAGAGUCUUCACCAUGACACUGAUGGAAGAGCAGAGUCAUGAGCUGGAUUCCACACAGUGCAGAGGGGAAGGAAUUAGAGUCUCGGGGUAUGGAAAUAGUGCAGUGGAGUGGAGUAUAUGCCCCCAACAUGAAUGAAUCCAUGGAUUUAGACUCUCUCCAAAAUAAGAGCGUGUAUUCAAGCCAUGAAAACCACCCAGCCCCAUUUGAACCGCC
rnacentral:lncRNA from 1 species